CCUCUCUCAAAUUCUCAGCCCUCUUUCUUCUUUCUUCAUUCUCAAAUUCUCAUAGCACGCAUUAGCCUUUUUUAAUUCUGAUUUCUUCAUUUUUUUUCCUCCUAGGAUUCUAAUUAAUGUUUCAUUCUAAGUUCUUCAUUUCUUCACCUUUCUUUCCUGCUAGGGUUUGGAUCUGUGGAUAGUUCUAUCAUACUUUAAUAAAUUUGGCUUGUUUGUUUUAUUUUUUCGAGAUCCCCAUUUUCUCCGAAGCAAGCAAAUGGCUAAGGGUCCUGGUCUCUACUCUGACAUCGGCAAGAAAGCCAAGGAUCUUCUGUUCAAGGACUACCACAGUGACCAGAAGUUCACCAUCACCACCUACUCACCCACUGGAGUUUUGUACGAUUAAUCCUGGUGAGAAUGAAGUAUUAGUUCGAUAUGCUUUGGAUAAAUACAAAUACCUGUCAUUGGCGCCUCAGCACCCAAGAAUUGGAGGACCUGGUCUGGUUGGUAGCUGUGAAUUUCCUGAUGGAUAUGUAGAGUAAAAUUUGAUGCUAGUCCCACUAAAUAACCUGGGCCUACUCUUUAUUAGUGGGGCCAGUAUGAGAUUUCUUCCGUAAAAGAGACAAUAUUGAGAAGUGUCAAACAAUGUGCUGCUGGGAGUGGUUACAACCUGGGGAGGAAGACCUUGUUCAGAGGUAUUAAUGUGCAAGCUUUGGAUCCUGUCAGAUACGCGGUUUACUUCAAAAGAUUUGAGGGAACCUUUCAAUCUUCAAAAGGGUUGGCUUUUGUGGGCAGGAGCUGGACUUGUUGGUGCCCUGCUUGCCGUUGCAUUGACAGGAGCUGCUUUGUCCUUCUUUAAUGGAGAAACCCCAGAGAGAGAGGUUAAUAAUUUAUUUUUUAAAUUUCUCUUUCUCCCGCCUCUGCGAAAAAUGGUAAGUUAGGGUUCUUGCUUAUUCUCUUUCUCUUUCUUUUUCUCCUCGUCGCUUUUCAACAACAACUAUUCCAGUUUUGGAUUGAUUGUCUUCUUUGACACUUUGAAAUUCCUUAUCUAAUUUUUUUGUUUCUUUUUUAAUUAUUAUUAUUUUUUUAAAUUUAAUGUUCGAAUUACAGAGUGAUAUAAGGAAAUGGUUCAUGAAAUCACAUGACAAGGAAAAAAAUGCUGGUGGCUCCAAGCCUUCUAAUCAAGCGAAGUCUUCCCCUGAUAAACCCCAACCGGCGAAAACGAGUCAAGGAUCAUUUUGAAAAUUAUAAAAUCUGUCUUAAAGAAAUUAUGUGAGAAGAUGGAGGCCAAGGAGUUGAAUUUGGUAUGGAGUUGCUUAUAUAAGGAAGUCAAUGGGAAACCUUUGCCAACGGAUGUUUCAAUUCUUGAAUAUGACUUGUAUGGUGAAAAGAACCCUUGAGAGAUUUGGGAAGCCUUUGGAAGUUCCAACUCUUACGGUGGAACUGAUCUUUACUUCUUAACCACUUUAAAGAAAAAGUUUUCCACUGGCUCACGCUUGGUUCGCACCAUUGGAUGUGGUUCAUGGGAAGCUGAAGACCGUGGAAAAAAUAUUAUGGCCAGUGGCACGAUGCAAUGUAUUGGAACAAUGAGACGUUUAUGAUUUGAAAAGAGUGGCACCAACCAUGAUGGUGCUUGGAUCUUGCAUGAAUAUAGAAUUGAUUCAUCCUUGUUAGAAAAUCCAUCAGUAAGCGCGCUCUGCGUACUC